rnacentral:rRNA from 1 species
AACGCGUGAGCAAUCUGCCUUUAAGUAGGGGGAGUAACAGUCGGAAACGGCUGCUAAUACCGCAUAAAGCAUUGAAUUCGCAUGUUUUCGAUGCCAAAGGAGCAAUCCGCUUUUAGAUGAGCUCGCGUCUGAUUAGCUAGUUGGCGGGGUAACGGCCCACCAAGGCGACGAUCAGUAGCCGGACUGAGAGGUUGAACGGCCACAUUGGGACUGAGACACGGCCCAG